GGUGAACGCUGGCGGUAGGCCUAACACAUGCAAGUCGAACGGCAGCACAGUAAGAGCUUGCUCUUACGGGUGGCGAGUGGCGGACGGGUGAGGAAUACAUCGGAAUCUACUUUUUCGUGGGGGAUAACAUAGGGAAACUUACGCUAAUACCGCAUACGACCUACGGGUGAAAGCAGUGGAUCUUCGGACCUUGCGCGAUUGAAUGAGCCGAUGUCGGAUUAGCUAGUUGGCGGGGUAAAGGCCCACCAAGGCGACGAUCCGUAGCUGGUCUGAGAGGAUGAUCAGCCACACUGGAACUGAGACACGGUCCAGACUCCUACGGGAGGCAGCAGUGGGGAAUAUUGGACAAUGGGCGCAAGCCUGAUCCAGCCAUACCGCGUGGGUGAAGAAGGCCUUCGGGUUGUAAAGCCCUUUUGUUGGGAAAGAAAAGCAGCAGGUUAAUACCCCGCUGUUCUGACGGUACCCAAAGAAUAAGCACCGGCUAACUUCGUG
rnacentral:rRNA from 1 species